GACGAACGCUGGCGGCGGGCUUAACGCAUGCAAGUCGAACGGCAAGGCACUGAUUUUGUGGGGUGCUCGAGUGGCGAACGGGUGCGUAACACGUGAGUAACCUGCCCUUGACUUUGGGAGAACUUCAGGAAACUGGGGCUAAUACCGUAUAGGAGCUCCUGCUGCAUGGUGGGGGUUGGAAAGUUUCGGCGGUUGGGGAUGGACUCGCGGCUUAUCAGCUUGUUGGUGGGGUAGUGGAUUACCAAGGCAUUGUCGGGUAGCCGGCCGGGGAGCGUGACCGGGCACCUUGGGACUGAGGUAGGGACCAGAGUCGUACGGGGGGCAGCAGUGGGGAAUAUUGCACAAUGGGCGGAAGCCUGAUGCAACAACGCCGCGUGCGGGAUGACGGCCUUCGGGUUGUAAACCGCUUUCGCCUGUGACGAAGCGUGAGUGACGGUAAUGGGUAAAGAAGCACCGGCUAACUACGUG
rnacentral:rRNA from 1 species